rnacentral:lncRNA from 1 species
GAGACGCUCCCCGCUGAGCCACUCCUUCCCUUCCUCCAAAUCUCUCACGCUUCGCCAGCGACGGCGGACGAUCUCACGUCCCAUGGUAACACCUACCGGUGCUCUUUUCUUGAAUUCUCAUUGUAUCAACCCAGAUGUCAAAUCACACCGUAGCAGCAUCUGUAGAAACGGAUGGUAUUUUUUUGGCUUCUGUUGAUCUAUCAAAAGUCGAUACAUUUUGAAUAAAGAAUUCCUAUACGAUGCCUAGGAAAUGAAUUCGCCUGAUCUCUCUACGAAGUCAACCGCUCAGUUUGACAUCUUUGGGCUUUGGCUGGCAGUAGUACGAGGAGACGCAAAUCUAGAAGUCGCAGCAGUUCGUGGCGACAGAUUUACUUGUUCGAGAGCACGGCACUGAAGCUCGGGUGGAUAGUCCCUCACGCAGGCGAUCCGCGGCCCUGUGCCUGUUGCCCACUUAAAGGAUAGCUGCUUCCCCAGCUGAUACGACUUCAGGCCUUUCUUUGAGUUGAUCCUACGAAGGAUCAGCUCCGACGGUAUGGAUGUUUCUUCCUCCUUUUGUUGUGCGGCGUCAGAGAAGUCUCGUUCGCAUCCUUCAGGUUUUUCUUCCUCCGAACUGAUACUCUUUGACUCUCUCGGGUUAUUUGUCUCCUCGCCUGCUUCU